UCGAGAAUCUUCGGCAAUGGACGCAAGUCUGACCGAGCGACGCCGCGUGCGGGAUGAAGGCCUUCGGGUUGUAAACCGCUGUCGUAGAGGAGGAAAUUCUAGUGGGUACUCCCAUUAGAUUGACUGAUUCUAGGAGGAAGGACCGGCUAAUCUCGUGCCAGCAGCCGCGGUAAUACGAGAGGUCCAAACGUUAUUCGGAAUCACUGGGCUUACAGAGUUCGUAGGCGGUUCUACAAGUGGGGUGUGAAAGCCCUCGGCUCAACCGAGGAACUGCGCUCCAAACUGUAGAACUAGAGGGAGAUAGAGGUGAGCGGAACUGAUGGUGGAGCGGUGAAAUGCGUUGAUAUCAUCAGGAACACCGGAGGCGAAGGCGGCUCACUGGGUCUCUUCUGACGCUGAGGAACGAAAGCUAGGGGAGCAAACGG
rnacentral:rRNA from 1 species